rnacentral:rRNA from 1 species
AGUUGAUCCUGCCAGUAGUCAUAUGCUUGUCUCAAAGAUUAAGCCAUGCAUGUCUAAGUAUAAAUAGUAUACAGUGAAACUGCGAAUGGCUCAUUAAAACAGUUAUAGUUUAUUUGAUAAUUGACAAUUACAUGGAUAACCGUGGUAAUUCUAGAGCUAAUACAUGCUUAAACGCCCGACUUUAUGGAAGGGUGGUAUUUAUUAGACUGAAGCCAACAUUCCUUGUGUCUAUUGCGGUGAUUCAUAAUAACUGAUCGAAUCUCUUUUUGAGAUAAAUCAUUCAAGUUUCUGCCCUAUCAGCUUUCGAUGGUAGUGUAUUGGACUACCAUGGCAGUAACGGGUAACGAAGAAUUAGGGUUCGAUUUCGGAGAGGGAGCAUGAGAAACGGCUACCACAUCUAAGGAAGGCAGCAGGCGCGUAAAUUACCCAAUCCUGACUCAGGGAGGUAGUGACAAGAAAUAGCAAACCGGGAACCUCAUGGUUUCACGGUAUUGCGAUGAGAACAAUUUAAAACCCUUAGCGAGAAUCAAGUGGAGGACAAGUCUGGUGCCAGCACCCGCGGUAAUUCCAGCUCCACUAGCGUAUAUUAAAGUUGUUGCAGUUAAAAAGCUCGUAGUUGAACCUCUGUCUGGGGCUAGUUUUGGCUUUGGUCAGGCUAGUUCUAGGCAUCCGCCUACAAGACUUAGAGGGCACUCAGUUGUUCACUAGGAGGAGUAGGCAUUUUACUUUGAAAAAAUUAGAGUGUUUAAGGCAGGCAAUCGCCCGCAUAUAUUAGCAUGGAAUAAUAGAAUAGGACACUUUUCCAUUUCGUUGGUUAUUGGAAUCGUGUAAUGAUUAAUAGGGACAGUUGUGGGCAUUUGUAUUUAAUUGUCAGAGGUGAAAUUCUUGGAUUUAUUAAAGACAAACUAACGCGAAAGCAUUUGCCAAGGAUGUUUUCAUUAAUCAAGAACGAAAGUUAGGGGAUCAAAGACGAUCAGAUACCGUCCUAGUCUUAACUAUAAACUAUUCCGACUCAAUGUUUGACUGGCUUAUAUAACCAGUUGAGCGUUGUAUGAGAAAUCAAAGUCUUUAGGUUCUGGGGGGAGUAUGGUUGCAAAGCUGAAACUUAAAGGAAUUGACGGAAGAGCACAACCAGGAGUGUAUUCUGCGGCUUAAUUUGACUCAAUACGGGGAAACUUACCAGGUUAAAACAAUAGUGGGAUUGACAGUUUGAGAGCGCUUUCUUGAUUGGUUGGGUGGUGGUGCAUGGCCGUUCUUAGUUGGUGGAGUGAUUUGUCUGCUUAAUUGCGUUAACGAACGAGACCUUAACCUGCUUACUAGACUGGCGAUCAUCAAUCGUUAGCUCUUCUUAGAGGGACUUU